rnacentral:rRNA from 1 species
UACAGGGGGGGCAAGCGUUGUUCGGAAUUACUGGGCGUAAAGGGUCAGUAGGCGGCCAACUAAGUCCGACGUGAAAUCCCCAGGCUUAACCUGGGAACUGCGUCGGAUACUGGAUGGCUUGAAUUCGGGAGAGGGAUGCAGAAUUCCAGGUGUAGCGGUGAAAUGCGUAGAUAUCUGGAGGAAUACCGGUGGCGAAGGCGGCAUCCUGGACCGACAUUGACGCUGAACGACGAAAGCUAGGGGAGCGAAACGGG